rnacentral:lncRNA from 1 species
AAGUGGGUUUUAGGCUUGGUGAUACAUACCUUGAUACUUUAUCUUUACUUUUUUUUCGUAUUCUGCCAGUUUCUCGAAAAAAUGAGAGUAAAACCAGAGAAAAGUGAUUUUGAUAAAUGUAUGGGUGAAGAAGUUGAACUUAAAUACACCACGCAUCCAAACGCGAUCAUAAAGAUUUACAGCUGUAUAUUCUCCUAUUGUUGUUGUCAGCUAUUCUUUUUUUUAAACUAACAGUAAGGUAUAAAAAGUGGGUUUUAGGUUUAGGGAUAUAUACCUCGAUACUUUUUCUUCUUCUUUUUCACUUUCUAUAUGUUUCUCAACAAAAUUAGAGUAAAACUAGAGAAAAUUGAUUUUGAUAAAUGUAUGGGUGAAG